rnacentral:rRNA from 1 species
CAGCAGCCGCGGUAAUACGUAGGUGGCAAGCGUUGUCCGGAAUUAUUGGGCGUAAAGGGCUCGCGGGCGGUUUCUUAAGUCUGAUGUGAAAGCCACCGGCUCAACCGGGGAGGGUCAUUGGAAACUGGGAAACUUGAGUGCAGAAGAGGAGAGUGGAAUUCCACGUGCAGCGGUGAAAUGCGUAGAGAUGUGGAGGAACACCAGUGGCGAAGGCGACUCUCUGGUCUGUAACUGACGCUGAGGAGCGAAAGCGUGGGGAGCGAACAGGAUUAGAUACCCCCGUAGUCCCUGUCUCUUAUAC